rnacentral:misc_RNA from 1 species
GAUGAAGAACGCAGCGAAAUGCGAUAAGUAGUGUGAAUUGCAGAAUUCAGUGAAUCAUCGAAUCUUUGAACGCACAUUGCGCCCCUUGGUAUUCCAUGGGGCAUGCCUGUUCGAGCGUCAUUUGUACCUUCAAGCUUUGCUUGGUGUUGGGUGUUUGUCUCGCCUUUGCGUGUAGACUCGCCUUAAAAUAAUUGGCAGCCGGCGUAUUGAUUUCGGAGCGCAGUACAUCUCGCGCUUUGCACUCAACGACAGCGUCCAAAAGUACAUUUUACACUCUUGACCUCGGAUCAGGUAGGGAUACCCGCUGAACUUAAGCAUAUCAAUAAGCGGAGGA